rnacentral:rRNA from 1 species
CACAGAGGGUGCAAACGUUGUUCGGAAUUACUGGGCAUAAAGCGCACGUAGGCGGCUUGGUAAGUGUGGAGUGAAAUCCCACGGCUCACCCGUGGAACUGCUUCGCAUACUGUCAGGCUAGAGUGUGGUAGGGGAAAGCGGAACUCUUGGAGGAGCGGUGAAAUGCGUAGAUAUCAAGAGGAACACCAAUGGCGAAGGCAGCUUUCUGGUCCAUUACUGACGCUGAGGUGCGAAAGCCAGGGUAGCGAACGGG